AGAAGGAAGAUGGCGGAUCUGGAGGAGCAGUUGUCUGAUGAAGAGAAGGUGCGUAUAGCAGCAAAAUUCAUCAUUCAUGCCCCUCCUGGAGAAUUUAAUGAGGUUUUUAAUGAUGUUCGGUUACUGCUUAAUAAUGACAAUCUUCUCAGGGAAGGAGCAGCCCAUGCAUUUGCACAGUAUAACUUGGACCAGUUUACUCCAGUAAAAAUUGAAGGUUAUGAAGAUCAGGUAUUGAUAACAGAACAUGGCGACUUGGGAAAUGGAAAGUUUUUGGAUCCAAAGAACAGAAUCUGUUUUAAAUUUGAUCACUUAAGGAAGGAGGCAACUGAUCCAAGACCCUGUGAAGUAGAAAAUGCAGUUGAAUCAUGGAGAACUUCAGUAGAAACUGCUCUGAGAGCUUACGUAAAAGAACAUUACCCAAAUGGAGUCUGCACUCUGCUGUUUUUAUUUUUAAGGAAUGGUCGUUGGAGGUCAGAAUGGAAGUUUACAAUUACUCCUUCAACCACUCAAGUGGUUG
rnacentral:sRNA from 1 species